GAGCGCCGGACGGGUGAGUAACGCGUGGGUAACUUGCCUCAUACAGGGGGAUAACAGUUUAGAAAUGGCUGUUAAUACCGCAUAAGCGCACAGCAUCGCAUGAUGCCGUGUGAAAAACUCCGGUGGUAUGAGAUGGACCCGCGUCUGAUUAGGUAGUUGGCGGGGUAACGGCCCACCAAGCCGACGAUCAGUAGCCGACCUGAGAGGGUGACCGGCCACAUUGGGACUGAGACACGGCCCAAACUCCUACGGGAGGCAGCAGUGGGGAAUAUUGCACUUUGGGCGAAAGCCUGAUGCAGCGACGCCGCGUGAGCGAAGAAGUAUCUCGGUAUGUAAAGCUCUAUCAGCAGGGAAGAAAAUGACGGUACCUGACUAAGAAGCCCCGGCUAACUACGUGCCAGCAGCCGCGGUAAUACGUAGGGGGCAAGCGUUAUCCGGAUUUACUGGGUGUAAAGGGAGCGUAGACGGAGAUUCAAGUCAGGAGUGAAAUCUAUGGGCUUAACCCAUAAACUGCUUUUGAAACUGAAUCCCUUGAGUAUCGGAGAGGCAGGCGGAAUUCCUAGUGUAGCGGUGAAAUGCGUAGAUAUUAGGAGGAACACCAGUGGCGAAGGCGGCCUGCUGGACGACAACUGACGCUGAGGCGCGAAAGCGUGGGGAGCAAACAGGAUUA
rnacentral:rRNA from 1 species